AGAACUGCAGCCAGGGUUUAGCUCGGGGGCGGAGCCGAGUCUUCCCUAGGCGCCUGCGCUUAGCCGGUUUCCCGGCGCCAUUUUGUCCCGGCAGCAGCGGCCGCAGCUCUAUCCCAUUUUCUGUGUCUGGAGGCGAGGAAGCGGACUCUGUCCGGUAGGUUUGUGUCUCUACGGCCCCGGCUUACCAUUCGCUCCAGAACAACGCCUAGCGAAGCGUGAUGGAGCUGCGAAGCCCUCCGAAAGAGUUAUGCUGAAGACAACAGACACCUCCGUGACAACCCAGAGUACCACAGAAUGACCCUGACUUUUGUGGGGAGAACGCAGGUGCUUCGGCUCUAGAAGACCUAGGAUUUGUUACUUGUGCUGAAAAGUUCUGGUUCUGGUUUGUAAUUUUACUUCAUCUUUAAGUGAAUGAGGUUGGCCAUGUUAUAUGUGUAUGCGUGUGUGUACUUGUGUAACUUUUUGGAAGACAGUUUAUUUGUAGAAACAUCGGUAUAUGUUGAGAAGUAGAUUUGAUUCAACUGGGUUGAAUAGAGCUGCUUCCCAAAAGAUUGAGUUUGGAAGGGAUUACAUAAUUUUAAUCAGACUUUUAUUUUGGGCACCAGGGAUGUCAGUAUUAAUUGUAAGAGUGCUUUACCUGGCAUACACAAGGCUCUAGGCUCAAAAGUCAGAAUGGGUGCUAUUGUUGGUAAUUUUAAAGCAUUCCUUCUAGAAUCUACAUGGAUGAUCUUUUGCCCUGUUGGACUUUGCUGUUGGUUUUAUGACCACAUGAAUGAGAGUUUUCACUCACAGGUAAUUCGAACUAGAAUGACAGCAUAUUGCAGGGUAGGGAUUAAAGCAGAUAUGGGUUAUUUAAUGACAUUUCUCCAAAGUUCUCCUGGAACUGUUCUGAGUGCUGGGAUGAAAGGCGUGCACCAUCAUACCCAGCUGGUUAUUUUUAAAGAUUUAAAUAAUGGCUCCUGGUGAAAGAAAGAUCAGUAGAGGUUCAGUAUACAGUCAGCUCUAGAGACACUGAAAAAACAUUCCUUUAAGCAAGCAGGACCUAGGGCUAGUUAAAUGGAAGAUUGUGAGCAAGAGUGAUUGAGAAAAGCUGUUUCAGAUGGUAGACCAGUUGGGAAAGGAUGCCUGGCAAAAGACAAGGUCAGGAAAGUUAGGAGGCCUGUGAUGUCAGAGUUGUAAGACUCAGCUGCACACGAGAAUCCUAUGGAGCAUUUGCCCUCUCCCAUUCAGUAAGUUUCCUUGGCUUUGCUGACAAGUAUAUGGGCACCCUACCGGUGACUGUACACUCCUGAAGAAAAUGUUUCUCCCUCUGUCAGGUGUUAACUCUUUAUAAAUACUCAGGGAGGAACUAGACCCCACACGACCCUCUCCCUUAACAGAAUGUUGACAGACCCAAUCCUGUUCAGAUACUGAAUUCAGAUAAUCGGAGCUAUCAUGAGUUCAAAGGUACAACAGCCAGGUCAGUGUUCCAUUCUCUCUUGGCUUCCUCUGGCACUUACAUUCCUUCUGCCUCUUCUGUGAAUGUGCUGUCAAAGCUGAGCACUCGACAGUCACUUAUUCUUAGCACGUGCUAGCUUGCCUUCCCGUAGAGCUUGGAGGAAGCACAGGGAGACCACCCUGUGGUCUCUGCCAAAAUACCUGUGUGUGACUUGUACAUUAGCCCUUGCUUCCUCUACAGUCUAGCUCUUUCAGAGUCUCCUGUGGUUUUAAAAUAGCCAAUGAAAUUAUAUGUUGCCACAUAUGGGAGGCAAAGAAACAAAUAUCAUGCAAAAGGCUGUAAACAGUUCAGUUCAAUCUGUGC